CGAACGAAACUUCUUUAUCACCGAGUGCUUGCACUCACCGGUAAAGGGUUGAGUGGCGAACGGGUGAGUAACACGUGGGCAACCUGCCCAAAAGAGGGGGAUAACACUUGGAAACAGGUGCUAAUACCGCAUAACCAUAGUUACCGCAUGGUAGCUAUGUAAAAGGUGGCUAUGCUACCGCUUUUGGAUGGGCCCGCGGCGCAUUAGCUAGUUGGUGGGGUAAAGGCUUACCAAGGCAAUGAUGCGUAGCCGAACUGAGAGGUUGAUCGGCCACAUUGGGACUGAGACACGGCCCAAACUCCUACGGGAGGCAGCAGUAGGGAAUCUUCCACAAUGGGCGAAAGCCUGAUGGAGCAACGCCGCGUGGGUGAAGAAGGUCUUCGGAUCGUAAAACCCUGUUGUUAGAGAAGAAAGUGCGUGAGAGUAACUGUUCACGUUUCGACGGUAUCUAACCAGAAAGCCACGGCUAACUACGUGCCAGCAGCCGCGGUAAUACGUAGGUGGCAAGCGUUAUCCGGAUUUAUUGGGCGUAAAGGGAACGCAGGCGGUCUUUUAAGUCUGAUGUGAAAGCCUUCGGCUUAACCGGAGUAGUGCAUUGGAAACUGGGAGACUUGAGUGCAGAAGAGGAGAGUGGAACUCCAUGUGUAGCGGUGAAAUGCGUAGAUAUAUGGAAGAACACCAGUGGCGAAAGCGGCUCUCUGGUCUGUAACUGACGCUGAGGUUCGAAAGCGUGGGUAGCAA
rnacentral:rRNA from 1 species